rnacentral:rRNA from 1 species
GUGCCAGCAGCCGCGGUAAUACGGAGGGUGCAAGCGUUAUCCGGAUUCACUGGGUUUAAAGGGUGCGUAGGCGGAAUGAUAAGUCAGUGGUGAAAGCUCCGAGCUCAACUUGGAAAUUGCCAUUGAUACUGUUGUUCUUGAGUUCGGUUGAGGUAGGCGGAAUGUUGCAUGUAGCGGUGAAAUGCUUAGAUAUGCAACAGAACACCGAUUGCGAAGGCAGCUUACCAAGCCGACACUGACGCUGAGGCACGAAAGCGUGGGGAUCAAACAGGAUUAGAAACCCCGGUAGUCC